ACGAACGCUGGCGGCGUGCCUAAUACAUGCAAGUCGAGCGAGCGGAACCAACAGAUUUACUUCGGUAAUGACGUUGGGAAAGCGAGCGGCGGAUGGGUGAGUAACACGUGGGGAACCUGCCCCUAAGUCUGGGAUACCAUUUGGAAACAGGUGCUAAUACCGGAUAAUAAAGCAGAUCGCAUGAUCAGCUUUUGAAAGGCGGCGUAAGCUGUCGCUAAGGGAUGGCCCCGCGGUGCAUUAGCUAGUUGGUAAGGUAACGACUUACCAAGGCGACGAUGCAUAGCCGAGUUGAGAGACUGACCGGCCACAUUGGGACUGAGACACGGCCCAAACUCCUACGGGAGGCAGCAGUAGGGAAUCUUCCACAAUGGACGCAAGUCUGAUGGAGCAACGUCGCGUGAGUGAAGAAGGUUUUCGGAUCGUAAAGCUCUGUUGUUGGUGAAGAAGGAUAGAGGUAGUAACUGGCCUUUAUUUAACGGUAAUCAACCAGAAAGUCACGGCUAACUACGUG
rnacentral:rRNA from 1 species